AUUGCCCUAGCCCCAGAAACACUGCAGGCGGCCACCUUCUUAGAUCCGCGUCUGGGAAGAACUGGAAUCUUCCGGACCCUUUGCCGCGGCGCAGAUUCCGGGUGCCUCCUGUCUACACAUGUGGACAACUCUGUGCAGAUAGAGGUAAACCCAAAAUGCCACCAUGAAAAGGUACCAGAAAGAGAGUGCUGCUUCGGGUGCUCUAAGGCAAAAGUCUCAUCCUGAAAAUGUGACCAUCAUCUUAAGACUGUGUUCUUGUUGAAAUAGCAAGUGAACAACUAAUUGGAAGACGACAAUAUGAGUAUAACAACCAUUGUUGAAUUCCUACCAUCUUGUGUAGUGACAUUUAACUCUUGGUAGAAAAGAGGUAUUAUUUCUAAUUUUUGUUAUUACUUUUUAUUCCCUUUAACUGCUUGAUCAGUCUGGUAUUCUUACAACUGGUAAUCUGAGCAACUACAUUGAAGAUAACAAUAUGUGAUAUAACAACCACUGUCAAUUCCUAUCAUCUUGUUUUGAAAUCCUGUAUCAUUUUCAUUAUUUUUGCAUUGUUUUGUUUUUGUCUUUGCUGUUGUUAUUUUGUUAUUGUAAUUUUUUCUUUUUAAAGUAAAAAAAAAUAAAA
rnacentral:lncRNA from 1 species